CAUGUCGAGCGGUAGCACAGAGAGCUUGCUCUCGGGUGACGAGCGGCGGACGGGUGAGUAAUGUCUGGGAAACUGCCUGAUGGAGGGGGAUAACUACUGGAAACGGUAGCUAAUACCGCAUAAUGUCGCAAGACCAAAGUGGGGGACCUUCGGGCCUCAUGCCAUCAGAUGUGCCCAGAUGGGAUUAGCUAGUAGGUGGGGUAACGGCUCACCUAGGCGACGAUCCCUAGCUGGUCUGAGAGGAUGACCAGCCACACUGGAACUGAGACACGGUCCAGACUCCUACGGGAGGCAGCAGUGGGGAAUAUUGCACAAUGGGCGCAAGCCUGAUGCAGCCAUGCCGCGUGUGUGAAGAAGGCCUUCGGGUUGUAAAGCACUUUCAGCGGGGAGGAAGGCGAUAAGGUUAAUAACCUUGUCGAUUGACGUUACCCGCAGAAGAAGCACCGGCUAACUCCGUGCCAGCAGCCGCGGUAAUACGGAGGGUGCAAGCGUUAAUCGGAAUUACUGGGCGUAAAGCGCACGCAGGCGGUCUGUCAAGUCGGAUGUGAAAUCCCCGGGCUCAACCUGGGAACUGCAUUCGAAACUGGCAGGCUAGAGUCUUGUAGAGGGGGGUAGAAUUCCAGGUGUAGCGGUGAAAUGCGUAGAGAUCUGGAGGAAUACCGGUGGCGAAGGCGGCCCCCUGGACAAAGACUGACGCUCAGGUGCGAAAGCGUGGGGAGCAAACAGGAUUAGAUACCCUGGUAGUCCACGCCGUAAACGAUGUCGAUUUGGAGGUUGUGCCCUUGAGGCGUGGCUUCCGGAGCUAACGCGUUAAAUCGACCGCCUGGAGAAUACGGCCGCAAGGUUAAAACUCAAGAGUUUUUU
rnacentral:rRNA from 1 species